rnacentral:rRNA from 1 species
UACAGAGGGUGCGAGCGUUGUCCGGAAUCACUGGGCGUAAAGGCGCGUAGGUGGCGCCCCAAGUCCGUGGUGAAAGCUCGAUGCUCAACAUCGAGUCGGCCACGGAACUGGGGGCUCGAGCACUGUAGAGGCAGAUGGAAUUCCGGGUGUAGCGGUGGAAUGCGUAGAGAUCCGGAAGAACACCGGUGGCGAAGGCGGUCUG